rnacentral:lncRNA from 1 species
CUCUGUCUUAAUUAUGAGGGACAGCUCGUUGCAACGGCCCGGGGAGAAGAUCAGAAAGUUAAAGGACAUUACUGAAAGUAGGGAAUUCAGAAAAUUGUCUCUGGAGCAAUUCCACAGAAAUAACUCCUCAACCUGAGAAACAUCAAUAUCAGACGUCAAGUUAUUAGACAUCCCUCAGUCUUUGGAACAGUCUUUCUGCUUUCUUCAACCACCAUUGACUCAUCAUUGCCAACACUUUCACCUUGCUCCCUGAGCACAGGCAAGACAAACCUGGCUCGAAAAGGCAUGGUCCAGCUUUAUAUUCUUGUCACUGAAUUGAAUAGAAGCUAAUGAAUGAAAGUUAAGAGAGAUCUGCAAUUUCUGAUCUGAUUUAGAGAUUUUCAGUCUGUCUAAGGGGGAACCUUUCUGCCAUUCAAAGUGUAUAAAACCAGAAUGGGAUGCCUUUGGGAGGAGUGAAUUGCCAGUCAACCACCAUAUCUCAAAGGUCAAUUUGGAUAAUGCUUUGUGAAGGUUGCUCCGAGGAUGCUUUGGAGAAGGUUUGCUAAAGUUCCAUAUUCCUCAGUAUUCUGCAAUUUAAAUAUAAAGGAAUUCAGAAUUUUAUAACAAUUGCUAGUAUUUUAUUGUCCUUAAAAGCUUAUAAGACAUAUUACAUGUUAUCUCAUUUAAUCCUUUUAUUCCCAUUUUUUAGGUGGAGAAAUUGAGGGUAAAAUGGAUUAAGUGGCUUGCCUCAAAUUAUACAGCUAAUAAGUAUUUGAAAGAGGAUUUGAGUUUGAAUUUUCUCAAUUUUAACUAUAGCACUAUAUCCACUGCACCAUAGAGCUGCCAGUUGGAUUGCAUUGCAUUGUAUUGAUUAUAUAAAAAAAAUAUAAAUAUUUUAAAAUAGGAUCCUGCUUAUAUUUGUAAUCUGGGUUAAAUCUCUAGCAAACUGAAUUAACAAGAAGAUACUUGAUUUAAAAAUAGGAAAAUUUUAAAAAAAGCAAGAA